UUGAAUUAAACUGAAGUGAGUUGUUGCUGGCCCUUUGGGGCAUGUGCACGCUUGCUCUCAUUUAAACCACCUGUGCACAUAUUGUAGACUUGGAAUGAUCUUCAACGCUUUCAUUAGCUUUGGUUUUAGUCUAUGUCUUCAUAUACCCCUAAUGUAUGUCUGUGAAUGUUAUUAAUGGGCCGUUAAAAGCCUUUAAAAAUUAAUA
rnacentral:misc_RNA from 1 species